rnacentral:lncRNA from 1 species
CUUUGUUUACCCCGAGAGAUCCGAAAGGAAUUGUUUAUUCAAUUGAAAAAGGCAGGAAAACUUACAUGUAAUAUGAAUUAAUUGUAAGUAAACAUGACACAAUAUAGUCUUUGUUAUGUAAUUAUCACUCUGGUCUGCAGGAAUAGCUGAUAAUCAAGGGAGAUAACACACUUCACACGAGUAAAGUGAGAUACAUCAUCACAUGCUUUUAUACAAUGAUUUGACCCUGGUCAGUAGAUAUCAUAUGCAAAUAAACAGAAAAAGACCUUGUACAUGUAUUAAGAAAAUCAUGUAUUACUAUUGUUAAUGCACACGAGCAAACACAAGAUAUUGUCAUUUCUCAGUGAAAAAGGGGGAGGGCCAACCCUCUUGAAAACAACAUUGCUAUUCAACUACAUGUAUUAAGCUAGUUAGCUACUACCCAUUGCUUCUAAUAUAAACAGUUUAAAUGAAGGUGGCUAAGCCACAAGGGAGAGGCAUUUUUCUUUCUUUGUGAUAAAACUUUCAAGAAUUAGAUUUUUCUCUCUCGAUAAUACUUAUGUACUUAAAUUAAAUGAUAACACAGCCUGAGUAAAAAAAUUUGUCUUAUUUCAGUUCCAGACAUAUCAUUACUAUUAAACAUGAGAUGGCAAACUAAAGGUUUUAAAAAGUCCUGAAUAACUGGUAAGCAUUUUGAUUUAUUAGGUAAGCUCUAAAUUAUUUAUUUAUGGUAUUUGUGCAAAUGAAAUUACAGUCGGUAUGUUAUAAAUAUGCUUAUAUGAAAACUGUUGCUAUGGUCUUGCUAUUAAAUGAAAAGGCUUGGUUACUGAUCUUUUCGACUCAACAUUUCGAGUUAAAUCUUGCGGCAACUGAUUCUCAUGUAACACUGCAAACUCUAUUUAGCACUAUUUUAAUCUGUCGUUAUUUAAUGACGCCAUAAUACGUGUGAUGUCACAAUGUUUCCUAUAAUACCUCAUGUGGAUUUCUCACUGAGAAAGGAUUUUCACUGAAAUACAUGUAAAAAGCCUUUUUUUCUCAAAUAGAAUUAUGUGAAUGGACAAGUUUUGAAAAUUUGCACUUCAUUGCACUCUAAUUACAUCAUAAGAAUGACUUUCCCAGUAGUUUUGAGGGGUUUUCAUAGUAUUAUAUACCAGAUGUCUACUAGUAAGAAUAGUUAUUUUGGUGUUUUUUUUUUUAUGAAAUCUACAUUUUUGCAUAAUUUCUCUGUCAAAAUGCACUUUAAGACACAGGAAAAUGUUAUGGAAUGCUUUAACAGGGUCUGUUUAUUGUAAUUUAAGGUUAUCAUCAGAAGUUUUGUCCUUGUUUUGACUAGUAAAGGUAUACUGGAAGAAAUUAAUUAUACAUACACGUUGCAUUAAAAAUAAAUGAAUAUAGCAAUAAAAGUGUCAUUGCCAUAUAGUGCUGAAACGACUUUAUUUUUUUUCAGAAAUGGACAAAAAUACACAGAUUAUUCAGAAUGUCAUACCGAUGAAGAUCACCUAAAAAUAUUUGGAAAAAUCAGAACUAUGGAUUUCAAUAUGGGACAAUACCCCUAAUGCGCCUUGAAAUGAGGAACACAAAAGUCACGUGUAAACAAAAAAUCUCUGUGUAGUGAUAUUUGACACAUUUCUAUGAUAAACAAAUGACUGAGCUGAACCAUUAGUGUUAAUUUAGAAAGUAGGGGAACACAGAAUAAAUGUGUAAAAACCAUGGAGCUAUUAAAUGUGUUCAAAGUAUUAAAAUUUCAAAGAACUUAUUGUGUUAAAAAUGGGAUUUUUUACCAUGAGGAGCCACAUCGCAAAAGGAUUCUCGGGGUUUGCUAAAUUACGGAAAAAUGAAUCACACUUCGUACCCCGAAAAUUUAACCACAUAUGUAAAAAUGUCUCAGCUUCGAAACAAGCCAUCAUACAUAUACAAGUUUACGAUAUGGGCUGAGCAACAGAAGAAAACGUUACCAUUACGGCCUAUGGAGAAACAAUUGCGCAUAUUGCCC